GACGGAGGGGGCUAGCGUUGUUCGGAAUUACUGGGCGUAAAGCGCGCGUAGGCGGUGCAGCAAGUCAAGCGUGAAAGCCCGGGGCUCAACUCCGGAAUUGCGCUCGAAACUGCUGUACUAGAGUUCGGGAGAGGAGAGUGGAAUUCCCAGUGUAGAGGUGAAAUUCGUAGAUAUUGGGAAGAACACCAGUGGCGAAGGCGGCUCUCUGGCCCGAUACUGACGCUGAGGUGCGAAAGCGUGGGGAGCAAACAGG
rnacentral:misc_RNA from 1 species